rnacentral:rRNA from 1 species
CCUACGGGUGGCAGCAGUGGGGGAUAUUGCACAAUGGGGGAAACCCUGAUGCAGCGACGCCGCGUGGGUGAAGAAGUAUUUCGGUAUGUAAAGCCCUAUCAGCAGGGAAGAAAGAAGACGGUACCUGACUAAGAAGCACCGGCUAACUACGUGCCAGCAGCCGCGGUAAUACGUAGGGGGCGAGCGUUAUCCGGAUUCACUGGGUGUAAAGGGAGCGUAGACGGCCGUGCAAGCCAGGAGUGAAAGCCCGGGGCCCAACCCCGGGACUGAUCUUGGAACUGGGCGGCUGGAGUGCGGGAGGGGCAGGCGGAAUUCCUGGUGUAGCGGUGAAAUGCGUAGAUAUCAGGAGGAACACCGGCGGCGAAGGCGGCCUGCUGGACCGCGACUGACGUUGAGGCUCGAAAGCGUGGGGAGCGAACAGGAUUAGAUACCCCAGUAGUC